UGGGGAAUAUUGGACAAUGGGCGCAAGCCUGAUCCAGCCAUGCCGCGUGUGUGAAGAAGGCCUUAUGGUUGUAAAGCACUUUAAGCGAGGAGGAGGCUACUUUAGUUAAUACCUAGAGAUAGUGGACGUUACUCGCAGAAUAAGCACCGGCUAACUCCGUGCCAGCAGCCGCGGUAAUACAGAGGGUGCAAGCGUUAAUCGGAUUUACUGGGCGUAAAGCGCGCGUAGGCGGCUAAUUAAGUCAAAUGUGAAAUCCCCGAGCUUAACUUGGGAAUUGCAUUCGAUACUGGUUAGCUAGAGUGUGGGAGAGGAUGGUAGAAUUCCAGGUGUAGCGGUGAAAUGCGUAGAGAUCUGGAGGAAUACCGAUGGCGAAGGCAGCCAUCUGGCCUAACACUGACGCUGAGGUGCGAAAGCAUGGGGAGCAAACAGG
rnacentral:rRNA from 1 species